GACGAGCGCUGGCGGCGUGCUUAACACAUGCAAGUCGAACGGAAAGGCCCUGCUUUUGUGGGGUGCUCGAGUGGCGAACGGGUGAGUAACACGUGAGUAACCUGCCCUUGACUUUGGGAUAACUUCAGGAAACUGGGGCUAAUACCGGAUAGGAGCUCCUGCUGCAUGGUGGGGGUUGGAAAGUUUCGGCGGUUGGGGAUGGACUCGCGGCUUAUCAGCUUGUUGGUGGGGUAGUGGCUUACCAAGGCUUUGACGGGUAGCCGGCCUGAGAGGGUGACCGGCCACAUGGGGACGGAGAUACGGCCCAGACUCCUACGGGAGGCAGCAGUGGGGAAUAUUGCACAAUGGGCGGAAGCCUGAUGCAGCAACGCCGCGUGCGGGAUGACGGCCUUCGGGUUGUAAACCGCUUUCGCCUGUGACGAAGCGUGAGUGACGGUAAUGGGUAAAGAAGCACCGGCUAACUACGUG
rnacentral:rRNA from 1 species